AAGCUACUCCCUCCGUUCGGAAUUACUUGUCGCGAAAAUGGAUGUAUCUAGAACUAAAAUAUGUCUAGAUACAUCCAUUUUUGCGACAAGUAAUUCCGAACGGAGGGAGUAUUUC
rnacentral:pre_miRNA from 1 species